UACGGAGGAUCCAAGCGUUAUCCGGAUUCACUGGGUUAAAGGGUGCGUAGGUGGAAUGACAAGUCAGUGGUGAAAACCUGCAGCUUAACUGUAGCAACUGCCAUUGAUACUGUUAUUCUUGAGUACAUUUGAUGUGAGUGGAAUGUGUCGUGGUAGCGGUGAAAUGCUUAGAUAUGACACAGAACACCAAUUGCGAAGGCAGCUCAGCAAAACUCGUAACUGAC
rnacentral:rRNA from 1 species